rnacentral:rRNA from 1 species
UACAGAGGGUGCGAGCGUUGAUCGGAUUUACUGGGCGUAAAGGGCGCGUAGGCGGUUAUAUGAGUGUGGUGUGAAAGCCCCGGGCUUAACCUGGGAAGAGCAUCGCAAACGAUAUAACUGGAGUAGAUGAGAGGGUGAUGGAAUUUCCGGUGUAGCGGUGAAAUGCGUAGAUAUCGGAAAGAACGUCGAUGGCGAAGGCAGUCACCUGGCAUCAUACUGACGCUGAGGCGCGAAAGCGUGGGGAGCGAAC